GAUGAACGCUAGCUACAGGCUUAACACAUGCAAGUCGAGGGGUAACAAGAGAAAAGCUUGCUUUUCUUGUUGACGACCGGCGCACGGGUGAGUAACGCGUAUCCAACCUGCCCAUAACUAGGGAAUAACCUUGCGAAAGUAAGACUAAUACCCUAUAAUUUCCUUUGAAGGCAUCGGAUUAGGAAUAAAGAUUUAUCGGUUAUGGAUGGGGAUGCGUCUGAUUAGCUUGUUGGCGGGGUAACGGCCCACCAAGGCAACGAUCAGUAGGGGUUCAGGGAGGAAGGUCCCCCAAAUUGGAACUGAGACACGGCCCAAACCCCUACGGGAGGCAGCAGUGAGGAAUAUUGGUCAAUGGGCGGAAGCCUGACCCAGCAAAGUAGCGUGCAGGAUGACGGCCCUAUGGGUUGUAAACUGUUUUUAUACAGGAAAAAAGUUAGCCACGUGUGGUUAUUUGUAGGUACUGUGUGAAUAAGGACCGGCUAAUUCCGUGCCAGCCCCCGCGGUAA
rnacentral:rRNA from 1 species